UAACCUAUCUAGCGAUAGAUAGCUGAGCAGUCAGAAGUCAGCAGAGGUCAUAGUACUCUUUCGAGCUCGAGACGAAAGAGGAAGGAC
rfam:Bacillus methanolicus MGA3, complete genome.